GAAGUUCCACGUUGCUUCAGAUUUCAGGGCUAGAUGUUGCUUCAGAUACCCAGGGCCCAUUUUGAAUUCAGCUAAUUCAGUCAGAUCAGUAAGAUGAUCCAACUUGUCAUAUACUGCACAAUGGCUGAAGGACAGGGAGCUGCAGCCACAGACCGCUGUGGACAUCAGGUUUACAACAAGAGAGACACAGCAAGACAUGGAUCUUGGGGUAAAAAGGCAAAUUAUUCAGAAUAAGGAAGCAACGUUACUAAGUUUAUAUCAUUGUGGAGUCUCUCUCUCAUCUGAGUCUUGUUCUUGUACUUCAGCAGUCAUUCAAGAUCAUUCAAAAUGCUUAAAAACAACUGCCAAGUAAAUCCAGCAUGUGAAGAAACUCUUUACCUUUUCACAGAUGAAUGAUUAAGGAUAAACAAACGCAGCAGUAUUCCUAAAACCAGGGGCAAUAACUUAUAUUCCAAAAGUAAAACUUUCUAAAAUGGAACUGCUAAGAGCUCAUAAGAACUCGUAAGAGCAACCAGUCAAAUGCUACGCUUAUGAUUUUAAUUCAGUCCAGUUUUA